CGCGCUGGGACCAUCCCGCUGCGCGCCCGACGGCACCGCUCGGGGCUGCUCCGGGAAAGAGGAGAGCACGGUCCGGCGGGGUGAAGGGGGCCGUGGGGAGGGCCCGCGGGCGAGGACUGGUUGGGUUCUGGCGCGGCGACGGGCAUGGUAGGACGGCGGUGCGGCUGCGGAGCGACGACCGUCGCCGUCGGGCUUGUGUUCUGCAGGCGGCCGCGUCCGAGGCAUCCCCGAGAUCGUGCUGCGGAGAGGACGCUGGGCCGCGUCGGCGGUGUGAGGGCGUCUCCAGCCUCCUCCUCGCUUGCUUGGCUUGCGCUUGUUGAUGGAAGAGCUGUUGCUGGCCCAGUUCCUCCCUGCACUUGAAGAAGAAAGACUGAAGAAGUAAAAUUAAUUGAGCGCCAGGAAAAAGAAACCUCUUCAGUCUCUGGAAAAUCUUGUCUUCAGUGAGGUAUCAAAAGAAGGUCAUCUUCUCAGGGUAAGCGCACACAAGCCUUCGUGAAUUUUGCCAGCCUCCCAUGGAACCUGCCACCAACCUGGUCUCAGCAACCCCAUUUCUCACCCUCAGAACUGCAUGCUGGGGGGGACACAGUGGCCACUGUGACUGCCAUAGGUCCUGGCUCUCCAUGCCUGAAGAAGCACAGCUGUCUUAAUGGAGCAUCAAAAUGCCAAGUUAUCAGAUAACAAUUAGAUGUACCACAAUUAUUGACGUUUUGUGUGCGUAUAUAGACUCUCACCAUGACACACGUGGACACGUGGGAUUACUUCUGCAUGUAGAUGGGGAUAACAGGUUGUUAUAUUUUGGAGAAUGACCGUAAACUCUUGUUAUAUGGAGAAGGAGUAAAGCAAUGUAAAUUUCUAUUCUUGUUUUAUUCAGAUAACCAGUAGUGUUAAACAUUGAAUUUUGUUGGAUUUUACAAAGGAAGGAAAAAGUAAUUUUUAAAAUCCUCCAAGAAUGCUUAAGAACAGCAUCUUCUUUCUUUAAAUAUUAAGAACAUGACUUUCCACCAAGGAAUUUUGCUGCAGUUGUUCCAGAGCCAGCUAUAGUACCUUAAUUUAUAAUAGCAGGUGAUUCAUGAUGCUUUGCAAACAAAUGAAAGUGCAGAUAUUCCACUUAUAUGAGGCUCUUGCUGUAUUGUUCCUUACAGACAUACAUUCACAUUCAACAGAGCCGCAGAGAACGUUUGAACAAGAGGUCAGACAAAUUUAUGGAAAGGUAUGAAAAUUUUGUUGUUACUUAUGCAG